GUUGUAUGGUUAAGUGACGAAGCGUAUACGGUGGAUGCCUUGGCAGUUAGAGGCGAUGAAGGACGUGUAAGUCUGCGAAAAGCUGUGGUGAGCCGACAAAAUGCAUUUGAGCCACAGAUGUCCGAAUGGGGAAACCCGCCUGUUUACAGGUAUCGUUACGUGAAUACAUAGCGUAACGAGGCGAACGAGGGGAACUGAAACAUCUAAGUACCCUUAGGAAAAGAAAUCAAACGAGAUUCCCCUAGUAGCGGCGAGCGAACGGGGAACAGCCCUUAAGCUGUUUAGUGUGUAGUGGAAUCCUUUGGGAAGAGGAGCGAUACAGGGUGAUAGCCCCGUACACAAAGCGUGCUUUACAGUGAAAUCGAGUAGGUCGGGACACGUGUUAUCUUGACUGAAUAUGGGGGGACCAUCCUCCAAGGCUAAAUACUCCUAACUGACCGAUAGUGAACCAGUACCGUGAGGGAAAGGCGAAAAGAACCCCUGUGAGGGGAGUGAAAUAGAACCUGAAACCGUAUACGUACAAGCAGUGGGAGCCCUUCGGGGUGACUGCGUACCUUUUGUAUAAUGGGUCAGCGACUUAUAUUUAGUAGCAAGGUUAAGCGAAUAGCGGAGCCGUAGCGAAAGCGAGUGUUAACUGCGCGUUUAGUUGCUAGGUAUAGACCCGAAACCCGGUGAUCUAGCCAUGAGCAGGUUGAAGGUUGAGUAACAUCAACUGGAGGACCGAACCCACUGACGUUGAAAAGUCAGGGGAUGACUUGUGGCUGGGGGUGAAAGGCCAAUCAAACCGGGAGAUAGCUGGUUCUCCCCGAAAUCUAUUUAGGUAGAGCCUCGGACGAAUUCCAUUGGGGGUAGAGCACUGUUAAGGCUAGGGGGUCAUCCCGACUUACCAACCCUUUGCAAACUCCGAAUACCAAUGAGAACUAUCCGGGAGACACACGGCGGGUGCUAACGUCCGUCGUGGAGAGGGAAACAACCCAGACCGCCAGCUAAGGUCCCAAAAUAUUGCUAAGUGGGAAACGAUGUGGGAAGGCACAGACAGCUAGGAGGUUGGCUUAGAAGCAGCCACCCUUUAAAGAAAGCGUAAUAGCUCACUAGUCGAGUCGGCCUGCGCGGAAGAUGUAACGGGGCUAAGCAAUAUACCGAAGCUGCGGCAGCAUGUUUACAUGCUGGGUAGGGGAGCGUUGUGUAAGUGGAUGAAGGUGAGUUGUAAAGCUUGCUGGACAUAUCACAAGUGCGAAUGCUGACAUGAGUAACGAUAAUGGGAGUGAAAAACUCCCACGCCGGAAGACCAAGGUUUCCUGUCCCAUGCUAAUCAGGGCAGGGUAAGUCGGCCCCUAAGGCGAGGCAGAAAUGCGUAGUCGAUGGGAAACGGAUUAAUAUUUCCGUACUUAUAUAAUCAGUGAUGGAGGGACGGAGAAGGCUAGGCAAGCUUGGCGUUGGUUGUCCAAGUGAAAGCGAGUAGGCCGAGAAUUUAGGUAAAUCCGGAUUCUUAAAGCUGAGACGCGAGACGAGCUCCCAAGGGAGUGAAGUUGUUGAUGCCCUGCUUCCAGGAAAAGCUUCUAAACUUAUGAUUAUAUGAACCGUACCCCAAACCGACACAGGUGGUCAGGUAGAGAAUACUAAGGCGCUUGAGAGAACUCGGGUGAAGGAACUCGGCAAAAUUGUACCGUAACUUCGGGAGAAGGUACGCCUCUGUUUGUGAACACUUCGCGUGGUAAGCAAAUGGAGGCCGCAGUGACCAGGUGGCUGGGACUGUUUAUUAAAAACACAGCACUCUGCAAACUCGUAAGAGGACGUAUAGGGUGUGACACCUGCCCGGUGCCGGAAGGUUAAUUGAUGGGGUUAGUCCUCGGACGAAGCUCUUGAUCGAAGCCCCGGUAAACGGCGGCCGUAACUAUAACGGUCCUAAGGUAGCGAAAUUCCUUGUCGGGUAAGUUCCGACCUGCACGAAUGGUGUAACCAUGGCCACGCUGUCUCCACCCGAGACUCAGUGAAAUUGAAAUCGCAGUGAAGAUGCUGUGUACCCGCACCUAGACGGAAAGACCCCGUGAACCUUUACUACAGCUUGGCACUGAACAUUGAACCUACAUGUGUAGGAUAGGUGGGAGGCUUUGAAGCACAGUCGCUAGAUUGUGUGGAGCCGUCCUUGAAAUACCACCCUUGUAUGUUUGAUGUUCUAACAUUGGCCCCUUAUCGGGGUUGUGGACAGUGUCUGGUGGGUAGUUUGACUGGGGCGGUCUCCUCCCAAAUAGUAACGGAGGAGCACGAAGGUUAGCUAAUCACGGUCGGACAUCGUGAGGUUAGUGCAAUGGCAUAAGCUAGCUUAACUGCGAGACAGACACGUCGAGCAGGUACGAAAGUAGGUCAUAGUGAUCCGGUGGUUCUGUAUGGAAGGGCCAUCGCUCAACGGAUAAAAGGUACUCCGGGGAUAACAGGCUGAUACCGCCCAAGAGUUCAUAUCGACGGCGGUGUUUGGCACCUCGAUGUCGGCUCAUCACAUCCUGGGGCUGAAGUCGGUCCCAAGGGUAUGGCUGUUCGCCAUUUAAAGUGGUACGCGAGCUGGGUUUAGAACGUCGUGAGACAGUUCGGUCCCUAUCUGGUGUGGGCGUUGGAUGAUUGAUGGGAGCUGCUCCUAGUACGAGAGGACCGGAGUGGACGAACCGCUGGUGUUCGGGUUGUCAUGCCAAUGGCAUUGCCCGGUAGCUAUGUUCGGAACGGAUAACCGCUGAAAGCAUCUAAGCGGGAAGCCGGCCCAAAGAUGAGUCAUCCCUGACCUUUAAGGUCUGGAAGGGUUGUUAUAGACGAUGACGUUGAUAGGCAGGGUGUGGAAGCGUUGUAAGGCGUUAAGCUAACCUGUACUAAUUGCCCGAGAGGCUUAACCAUACAACGCCUAA
rnacentral:rRNA from 1 species